rnacentral:rRNA from 1 species
UACGAAGGGGGCUAGCGUUGUUCGGAAUCACUGGGCGUAAAGGGCGCGUAGGCGGGUUUCUAAGUCGGGGGUGAAAGCCUGUGGCUCAACCACAGAAUUGCCUUCGAUACUGGCAACCUUGAGACCGGAAGAGGUCAGUGGAACUGCGAGUGUAGAGGUGAAAUUCGUAGAUAUUCGCAAGAACACCAGUGGCGAAGGCGGCUGACUGGUCCGGUUCUGACGCUGAGGCGCGAAAGCGUGGGGAGCAAACAGG